GAGUUUGAUCGGCUCAGAUUGAACGCUGGCGGCAGGCCUAACACAUGCAAGUCGAGCGGAUGAAGGGAGCUUGCUCCUGGAUUCAGCGGCGGACGGGUGAGUAAUGCCUAGGAAUCUGCCUGGUAGUGGGGGAUAACGUCCGGAAACGGGCGCUAAUACCGCAUACGUCCUGAGGGAGAAAGUGGGGGAUCUUCGGACCUCACGCUAUCAGAUGAGCCUAGGUCGGAUUAGCUAGUUGGUGGGGUAAAGGCCUACCAAGGCGACGAUCCGUAACUGGUCUGAGAGGAUGAUCAGUCACACUGGAACUGAGACACGGUCCAGACUCCUACGGGAGGCAGCAGUGGGGAAUAUUGGACAAUGGGCGAAAGCCUGAUCCAGCCAUGCCGCGUGUGUGAAGAAGGUCUUCGGAUUGUAAAGCACUUUAAGUUGGGAGGAAGGGCAGUAAGUUGAUACCUUGCUGUUUUGACGUUACCAACAGAAUAAGCACCGGCUAACUUCGUGCCAGCCG
rnacentral:rRNA from 1 species